GGUAAGCGUGGUGGUGUGGGCCUCUCCCACACCCCUUGGGAAGGAGAAGCUAGGAGUUUUGAGUAAAACACAGCCCCUCCUGGGUGACAUAGCGGGUUGUAGGUUGCUCUGGAUUUCAUAAUGGAACCAGGUUUAAAAAUACUGGUUUUUAACAGUAUGUGUUUUGAUUAUUGUAUGUGGUUUGUUGUUUUGUCCUCAAGUAAGUCUGUGUGACUGUGUGAAUGAAGUGUCCAUGACAGCCAGAAGAGGGGGUCAGAUAUCCUGGAACUGAAAUUCUCUACAGUGGAAAGCCACCAAGCAAGUGUCGGAAAUCAGAACCAGGUCCUCUGCAAGAGCAGCCAGGGUUCUUAACUUCCAAGCCUUCUUCUCCAGCCCCUUUCUUUAAUACUUUUUUAAUUUGUUAAAAAUUAUUUAAUAAUUUAUUGUUUAGUAAAAGUUAUGGUUAUUGACCCCUUUUUAAAAAUCCUUUUUUUAAUUAUAUGUUGAUUGUACUUAAAUUUCUUCUGACUUAAUAAUGUGUAUAGUUUGAUAAAAUAUUAUUUGAAUUUUAAUCUAGUUUCUGUUCCUAAUGUUUCCUUCUCGUUCUAGUGCAUGGACUAGUUUUUCUUGGAUCUCUUUUUUCUUCAUUACAGGGGAAUUUAUUGAGCACUGUGCAGGGCUCUGUGAUACAAAGAACAGGUAGAACUCUUAUCCUGCUUGUACUGCACAGCAGAAGCUGUGGGGAGCUGGCAUGGCCUACUUCAUAACAAAGAAGUGAAGCUGAGGAAAAGCAUGCCGAGCUUAUACUGGCCAGCCUACAUGAUUGAAGCUGGCCUUGUUAGAUGCUGUAUCCUAUCAGUUCCCUUUUCAAAUGUUUUCUACCCACCGACGAGUAGCAGUGAGGACAGCUUCGUGAGGUGAAUUCAAGAGUCCGCACUUUGACCUGAUUUUGUCUUAGUGCUGGUCUUAGUUAGGUUGUCUUAGGUGGGUAUCUUAGUUAGGGUUUCAUUGCUGUGAAGAGGCCAUGACCAAGACAACUCUUAUAAAGGACAACAUUUACUUGGAGCUGGCUUAAAAAUUCAGAGGACCAGUCCAUUAUUGCCAGUGUUGGGAAGGAAAGCAGUAUGCAGACAGAUACGGUGCUGGAAGAGCAGAGAGUUCUACAUCUUAAUUGGAAGGCAGCCAGAUGGAGACUCUUCUGUGGACAGCCAGGAGGGGGUGUGGGGGUAGUCUCUGCACUGGGUGGAGCUUGAGCAUUGGAGAUUCAAAGCCCACCACCAUGGUGACACACUCCCGACAAGGACACAACUCCUAAUAGUGCCAUUCCCUGGGUCACACAUAUCCAAACCACCACUUUCCACUCUCUGGCCCCCAUAGGCUUCUUCAAAUACAUGAGUCAAACUAUGGGGGCCAUACCUAGCCAUAGUGUAAUUUAAAAUACAUUUAGUCCAACUUCCAAAGUCCAGUAGUUUAUCAAUAGUAGUAAUCUUAGCAAUGUUUAAAAGUGCAAAGUCUCUUCUGAGAUUCAUGCAAUUUUUUAACUAAUCCCCU
rnacentral:lncRNA from 1 species